rnacentral:rRNA from 1 species
CCUACGGGCGCAGCAGUGGGGAAUAUUGGACAAUGGGCGAAAGCCUGAUCCAGCCAUGCCGCGUGUGUGAAGAAGGCCUUCGGGUUGUAAAGCACUUUCAGUGGGGAAGAAAGCCUUGGGGCUAAUACCCUCGAGGAAGGACAUCACCCACAGAAGAAGCACCGGCUAACUCCGUGCCAGCAGCCGCGGUAAUACGGAGGGUGCGAGCGUUAAUCGGAAUUACUGGGCGUAAAGCGCGCGUAGGCGGUCUGAUAAGCCGGUUGUGAAAGCCCCGGGCUCAACCUGGGAACGGCAUCCGGAACUGUCAGGCUAGAGUGCAGGAGAGGAAGGUAGAAUUCCCGGUGUAGCGGUGAAAUGCGUAGAGAUCGGGAGGAAUACCAGUGGCGAAGGCGGCCUUCUGGACUGACACUGACGCUGAGGUGCGAAAGCGUGGGUAGCAAACAGGAUUAGAUACCCCUGUAGUC